CACCCGUCGAACCAGCAGUGGGCCGCUGUCACAGCACGAGUGUUGCUGAGCAGUGCUGAACCGCAGACAGAUUGGCCACCAGGCACCGCAAUCACCAGUCCGCCCUACGUAAUGAUUAGACGAUUGUCAAUUUCAAGUGUCGAUUUUAGAUGAACCUAGAACAUGGAAAAAUCGAUUGAAUAGUGAAGACCAACUGCAGAAAAUUCUUGAAGUACUAACCAUGUAAGGGUAUGCGCCGAGUGCUGCCGGAGAGCCAUUGAAGAUCCUGCUGCCGUCGAAGUCAGCGGCCUGUUCAGCUUGCCUGAUGUGCU